rnacentral:rRNA from 1 species
UACGUAGGGGGCAAGCGUUGUCCGGAAUCAUUGGGCGUAAAGCGCGUGUAGGCGGUUCGGUAAGUCUGCUGUGAAAGUCCAGGGCUCAACCCUGGGAUGCCGGUGGAUACUGUCGGACUAGAGUACGGAAGAGGCGAGUGGAAUUCCCGGUGUAGCGGUGAAAUGCGCAGAUAUCGGGAGGAACACCAAUUGCGAAGGCAGCUCGCUGGGACGUUACUGACGCUGAGGCGCGAAAGCGUGGGGAGCAAACGGG